rnacentral:rRNA from 1 species
CCUUGACGUUAGCGGCGGACGGGUGAGUAACACGUGGGUAACCUACCUAUAAGACUGGGAUAACUUCGGGAAACCGGAGCUAAUACCGGAUAAUAUUCGAACCGCAUGGUUCGAUAGUGAAAGGUGGUUUUGCUAUCACUUAUAGAUGGACCCGCGCCGUAUUAGCUAGUUGGUAAGGUAACGGCUUACCAAGGCGACGAUACGUAGCCGACCUGAGAGGGUGAUCGGCCACACUGGAACUGAGACACGGUCCAGACUCCUACGGGAGGCAGCAGAU